GAUGAACGUUGGCGGCGUGCCUAACACAUGCAAGUCGAGCGAAUGAAGUUCCUUCGGGAACGGAUUUAGCGGCGGACGGGUGAGUAACACGUGGGCAACCUGCCUCAUAGAGGGGAAUAGCCUUCCGAAAGGGAGAUUAAUACCGCAUAAGAUUGUAGUACCGCAUGGUACAGCAAUUAAAGGAGCAAUCCGCUAUGAGAUGGGCCCGCGGCGCAUUAGCUAGUUGGUGAGGUAACGGCUCACCAAGGCGACGAUGCGUAGCCGACCUGAGAGGGUGAUCGGCCACAUUGGGACUGAGACACGGCCCAGACUCCUACGGGAGGCAGCAGUGGGGAAUAUUGCACAAUGGGGGAAACCCUGAUGCAGCAACGCCGCGUGAGUGAUGACGGCCUUCGGGUUGUAAAGCUCUGUCUUCAGGGACGAUAAUGACGGUACCUGAGGAGGAAGCCACGGCUAACUACGUG
rnacentral:rRNA from 1 species